rnacentral:rRNA from 1 species
GGCUUAUUGAAAAUAAUUUUAAGUUUGGCCUGCCCAAUGAAAAAUUUAAUGGCUGCAGUAUAUUAACUGUACAAAGGUAGCAUAAUCAUUUGUUUUUUAAUUGAAAGCUUGAAUGAAAGGUUGGAUGAAAAAAUUUCUGUCUCUAUAAAAAUUAAUUAGAAUUUUAUUUUUAAGUGAAAAAGCUUAAAUAUGAAUGGAAGACGAGAAGACCCUAUAGAGUUUGAUAUUUAGCUGAAUAAUUUGUUAAAGGAAAAUAAUUUUUUUAUUUAGUUAAUUAUUUUGUUGGGGUGAUGAAAAAAUUUAAUAAACUUUUUUUAAUUUUAUAUCAUUAAUUUAUGAGUAAAAGAUCCUUAUUUAAGAUUACAAAAAAAAAUUACCUUAGGGAUAACAGCGUAAUUUUUUCUAGAGUUCUUAUCGAAGAAAAAGAUUGCGACCUCGAUGUUGGAUUAAAAUUAAUUGUUGGUGUAGGUGCUUACAAAUUAGGUCUGUUCGACCUUUAAAAUUUUACAUGAUCUGAGUUUAAACCGGUGUGAGCCAGGUCGGU